rnacentral:rRNA from 1 species
AGAGUUUGAUCCUGGCUCAGAGCGAACGCUGGCGGCAGGCUUAACACAUGCAAGUCGAACGCCCGUAGCAAUACGGGAGUGGCAGACGGGUGAGUAACACGUGGGAACGUGCCCUUUGGUUCGGAAUAACCCAGGGAAACUUGGGCUAAUACCGGAUAAGUCCGCGAGGAGAAAGAUUUAUCGCCGAAGGAUCGGCCCGC